rnacentral:lncRNA from 1 species
AUUUUUGUUUUUUAUUAUUUAGUCAUUAUCUGCAAUAUUAACAUUAUUUCAGAGUAACGAGGUCGGAGGCAGCUACCAUAUGGAGGGAGAGGGAUUGGCGAGAUCUUUGCAGCGGAUCAAGAACUUUGUGGCUGUUGACACUCUUAUCACUGAUAGGCACAUGUCCAUAAAGAAAUAUCUCUGUGAAAAACAUCCUGAUAUUGAACAUCUCUUCGACAUAUGGCACGUUGCUAAAGGUGAACAAGUAACUUUUAUUAUAAUGAGACAAGGCUCACAUGUAUGUUAUUCAUUUCAGGGCUCAAGAAAAAAUUGCAGGCUGCUGCCCAGUUGAAGGGCUGUAAUGCUUUGAAAGGUUGGGUGGCCAGCAUUGUAAAUCAUCUUUACUGGUCUGUUGUCUCGUCCCCUCCACAUGAACGCGAGCUGGUGCUGGACAAGUUCCAGUCAGUGGUGUAUCAUAUUCAAAAUCAACAUCAGGGAUUCCCUGGACGUUUCACCAGAUGCCUUCAUGGUCCUCUUCAGGGGCAGGAAUUGCAGAAAGCUUGGCUUCAACCUUGUAAUCUUUCACUCUCCUAAUGUUUGAAUAUAUUUAAAUAUAUGUUUAUUGAAAUAAGUGUCAUGUUAUGAGCUCCAAUUACAUGUCAUAUUAAUUGUAUUGUUCACUUCAGGUACAAAAGCUGCAAUGGAAAUGGAGAGGAUAGUUUGCACCCCAGACUUCUCAAGGAUAUUUGUCAACUUUCUUCUUCCUACCAAACAUCUACCAUUGAGGCAUUUCACAGUUUAUUGAACCACUUUGCUCCCAAGAUGAUCUCCUUUUCCUUCAAUGGAAUGGAAUGCAGGUAAACAGAUCUAUUAUUCACUGACGUUUGUAGUUGUCAUGUGUGUCACCGAAAAUGUUAUGUCUGUACACUUUAACAAAAUAUGUAUUCUUUUUCAGGACAACACUAGCAGCCCUUCACUUCAAUGAGAAUGCCCACAGAGCUCAGUCAGUGACGGAGGAUGGUGAACCAGUUUAUGGACUUCAUUAUCCCAAGUACAAGCAGGGUGGCUACAUCGUCAGGAAGGUCCUCGAGGAAGCAACCUAUGGUUAUGUGGAUGAUCUUCUGCAGAUUGUCAGAUCUAUUUGCCAAGACAAGAAUGAGAAUUUGGAUGAAGAUGCAGAGGUUUUAAUUGAGCAACCUAAAAGGCUGCCCCUGAGCUCACAAUGUGAAAAGCCCAGACAAGGACCAGGCUGUGAAGGGUCACAUAUCACGUUUCACCACAAGCAGAUGUUAACAUUUAUCAUCCACUCUACUCGAAAUCAGUCCCUCUAACUAUAAUUUUCAUCAAAUCGCACGGGGAGGCAGGAGAGGAUGGCAUUGCCAUAAAAAAAAAAAAAAUCAGGGCAGCAAACUACCUUGCCAUCUUUAAAACUAAACUAAAAAUGUAUUUUUAUCGUUUGGCUUUUAACUAAUCGCUUUUGUUUGAUCUGUACACCUGUUAUCUUACUCGCUUGCUGUUGUUUUAACUGUCCUUUUUCUUUAAUUGUUAUAAAUGUGAUUUUUUUUGAUGUCAUGUUUUACCAUUGGAAAGCACUUUGAUCUGCCCACCGGCUAGAAAGGUGCUCUAUAAAUACAUUAUUAUUAUAUGAAAAUCUCUGUUAUGAUUUUUGGUCAAUGCCUUUUUAUCUUGUUUACAAACUACAUUACAGCACAAUAAAAAAAAAAAACGCACAACUGCGUUUUAGCUCCCAAAAACUUUAAUGUGUACUCACCCCACGCUGUAACGUUUCGGACUACAAGUCCUUCAUCAGACAUCAUGAAUUGUAGUCCGAAACGUUACAGCGUGGUGUGAGUACACAUUAAAACGCUAAAACGCAGUUGUGCGGGUUUUAUUCUUCUUAC